CCAGACUCCUACGGGAGGCAGCAGUGAGGAAUAUUGGUCAAUGGCCGCAGGGCUGAACCAGCCAAGUCGCGUGAGGGAUGACGGUCCUAUGGAUUGUAAACCUCUUUUGUCAGGGAGCAAUUGGCGCUACGUGUAGCGUUAUCGAGAGUACCUGAAGAAAAAGCAUCGGCUAACUCCGUGCCAGCAGCCGCGGUAAUACGGAGGAUGCGAGCGUUAUCCGGAUUUAUUGGGUUUAAAGGGUGCGCAGGCGGAUUUUUAAGUCAGCGGUCAAAUCGUGGGGCUCAACCCCAUCCAGCCGUUGAAACUGGGGAUCUAGAGUGUGCGAGAGGUAUGCGGAAUGCGUGGUGUAGCGGUGAAAUGCAUAGAUAUCACGCAGAACUCCGAUUGCGAAGGCAGCGUACCGGCGCCCAACUGACGCUGAAGCACGAAGGCGUGGGUAUCGAACAGGAUUAGAUACCCCGGUAUUU
rnacentral:rRNA from 1 species